UACGGGGGGGGCAAGCGUUGUUCGGAAUUACUGGGCGUAAAGGGCUCGUAGGCGGCCAACUAAGUCAGACGUGAAAUCCCCAGGCUCAACCUGGGAACUGCGUCUGAUACUGGAUGGCUUGAAUCCGGGAGAGGGAUGCAGAAUUCCAGGUGUAGCGGUGAAAUGCGUAGAUAUCUGGAGGAACAUCCGUGGCGAAGGCGGCCACCUGGACCAGCACUGACACUGAGGCACGAAAGCGUGGGGAGCAAACAGG
rnacentral:rRNA from 1 species